GAAAUAUUUUUAAAAUUAAGCUUCUAACUUAAUUACAAGCAUAAUUAGAUGUUUAUAUUUCU
rnacentral:tRNA from 1 species